rnacentral:rRNA from 1 species
GACGAACGCUGGCGGCGUGCUUAACACAUGCAAGUCGAACGGAAAGGCCUGCAGCUUGCUGCGGGUACUCGAGUGGCGAACGGGUGAGUAACACGUGGGUGAUCUGCCUUGCACUUCGGGAUAAGCUUGGGAAACUGGGUCUAAUACCGGAUAGGACAGCUGUUUAGUGUCAGUUGUGGAAAGUUUUUUCGGUGCAAGAUGAGCUCGCGGCCUAUCAGCUUGUUGGUGGGGUAAUGGCCUGCCAAGGCGUCGACGGGUAGCCGGCCUGAGAGGGUGUACGGCCACAUUGGGACUGAGAUACGGCCCAGACUCCUACGGGAGGCAGCAGUGGGGAAUAUUGCACAAUGGGCGGAAGCCUGAUGCAGCGACGCCGCGUGGGGGAUGAAGGCCUUCGGGUUGUAAACUCCUUUCGACAGGGACGAAGCUUUUGUGACGGUACCUGUAUAAGAGGCACCGGCUAACUACGUG